CCGUUUGUUUUCCCCCACAAGCAGACAUGAAUUUGUCUGAAAGAAAACAUUAAAUUUUACAGUUUUUCAACAAGAUUUUCCCAGGAACAAAAAUAUAAAUCGAUAGGUGGUAUUCCCAGACUGUAGAAUGGUGGGAUCAAGUAAAGAUCCCCAAACUGGGGUCUUUGAAGGGUUAGAUAUGCUUGCCGCGAUAGCAACUCAAGAACUACAAAGCAAUGCAGACGAUAAAAGAGAUGUUGAGGGUGGCAAUGAAAGGAGGGGGCGGGGCACCUCUGUCCAGCCCAAGAAACUCGCCGAGCUGGAUUUAGUGUCUAUAGAUCAGAUUUCUGCAAUGUCAGGGAACACGCUAGUGAAGAUAUUUACUGAGACUGAUUUUGAUGAAAUAAAACGAAUCUACAGCUACUCCUGUUUUCUCGUACCUUCAACUUGCCAGAGCAAGUUCCAAAGUUUCGGAAGUGAAACAAAAGCCCAUAAACAAGUUCAGAAACAUCUUGAGAAACACGUUGAUAUUCUUGUCAGAGAAGGAGACAAGGAUUUUACAGCUGAACCGAUAGUGGCGAGGAAAAAACGAUUACAGGACAAUAACCCGCCACCAACUGUAAAGCAAACCCCUGGAAGGCGCAAAGAUAAGUUGGAAACAAUUAACAUGGAAAGGAAACCCCUGCAUAUCGACAGGAAACCUGUCCAAGUAGACAGGAAACAGGUUCAAGGGGACAAGAAACCAAUUCAGAUAGACAGGAAGGUGAAGGAAGUUGAUAAGAAGCCCAUUUCUUUGGACCGGAAGCCUGUUCUAAUAGAGAAAAGAGGAAUUGUAGAGAAAGAAAACUCAAAUGUGUUUCACAACAAAAGGCGGAAAGAAGAUCUGAAACCUUUGCUCAGCGACAUUGGAAAUGAACUCUUCUCUAAUUCAAGGGUUAGAGUAAAGCGUGAGGCGGCCAAUGAUGCAGAGCGAAAGUUAGAGCAGACUGCACCUUUAAUUAAACAAGAAAUUGCAGAAGGAUUACAAGAUAGCGAAGUUGAAGGGAUUGAAAAUAAAUCUAUUGACGAGGAUCAUUGUUAUGCCCAAAGAUUUACCAGGGUAAAAUAUGAGCGAAUUGAUGAAUUCACCGUGGAGGAUGAAGAGGCUGGGACGGAGGCUGAAAAUACGCAAAACGGAGGUCAAAGCGUAGAUACAGAAAAUGCAAGUACUAUUUACUACUCGACGGGAAUAGAAGUUCAACAGGAAGAUUUAGCAUCAAUUCAGGCUAUUGAGGGUUGUGAGGUUAUUAUUGAUGGAGCACUGGUUGAUGGAGAUCUAGGAGUAACUGUUGAGCUUGUGUCAACUUCUACUCCAGAUUUAGAGGACCAGAAUUGCCAAGAAGUGAUUGUCGAAGGAGAGGAGAUGGAUGAGGAGGGUGGAUCAAGAGAGAAUGAAGUGAUCGAAUGGACGGAUAAUAAUGAAUUCCUAUAUUAUACAGAAGAGGUUGAAGACAAGGCGACCUAUGACAACCGGAAGUUAAAAAACAAGCGAACUGUUGCAGCUGUCAGCUCAGAAGAUAAAACGGCAGCCUUGGCGGCCAUGGAAGAGCUUCGAUGCCGCGGUGCAACUACUGAGGAUCUUGUUUGUCGUCUUUGUCGCCCUCCCCGUCCUUUCACCGCCUACUCAACCUUGCUAACUCAUUAUAGAAGCCAUGCUGGUCUUAGACCAUUCGAAUGUUCAAUAUGCCAGGCUACUUUCACAAGACAACACAGUUUGAAUUAUCAUCUGAUGACUCAUGCAAACAAAACCAGGUUCACUUGCCCACAUUGUAACAGGAAAUUUCGGCACCCGACGCAUUACAAGGAACAUGUUAAGAAACAUGGUGAAGUGGUUCAAUUCUGUUGCAGUAUUUGCGAGACAUCAGUUUCCACACAGAGUCACUUUCGAAAGCAUCUGAAAGCCAAGCACAACAAAACUAUAGAUAUCAUGGGAAACAUUAUAGACUGGCCGCAGGAUGGUAAAGAGCGCAUGUACCGAAAGAAGAAGAAGGUGACUGCUGAAGAGAAGGCUAAAAAGAAAGAAGAGACGAUUAAAAACACACCGGAGAUGUUUGAGGAGAUUCAAAUGGUGAACACUAGCACAGGUACAGUCCUCUACCAAACUGGAGAUAUCUACGCUAGUGACAACGGAAAAUUUUAUCAGGUGGACAAAGAUCAGCUCCGUCUCAGUAAUCAGUCAUCAGAUUCCUCCCUUGGAUCAACAUCAGCAAACAUACCACCCAUGGUGAGCCUAGGAAACCAGCUGACCCAUGGUAGUCACGCCAGCUUCAACUCAGAGGGGAUUAUGACCUCUAGUGCCCAGAUGGUUCAGAGUAGUCAAAUUAUCAUGGACGCACCCUCUCAGAAUGAGCUGUCAAACAGCUGUAGUCCGAUGAUCUUUGUAGUUCCUAAUACUGGAAAGCCAGAUGAAGAAAUUUACGAAGAUCAGUUGGUUGUGAGUUUGAAUAGCUCCAGCCUUGCUUUUCAGCCUAAAAACAUUUUAGUUCAAACCUCAAACCAAACCAAACUACUAUCAAAUCAAACCGUGACCUUUCGAAAUCAGUCCCAACUGCUCCCCAACCUUUCUCCCUCUCUAACCAACCAACUUAAGACAUUUUCCGACCAAGUACAAACAUGCAACCAAGAACAAAUCAUGCAAAACCAAACUGAGUUGAAUGGAAACAUAACCCAAUAUAUAUCAAACAACAUCAAUGUCACCCAAAACUCACUAGGAGUCCCCAAUUGUGCAGUACAGACUAUUCAAGCUACUAGAGAAAAUAAUUUCCAAUAUAUCUCUUCUGCAGGGUCACUGACUGAUUUGUGUCUUACUGAUGGAUUGAUCAACAAUGAAACUAACAAUGGUUUCACGUCUAAUUGUGAUGAUACUGAAACUGUUGUUACACCUGUGACCGGUCAACCUAUUGGGAAAAGAAAAAUGAGCAUUGAGGAAGUGAUAAAGAAUGAAUUAAUGCUGUUCAAAGAAUCUCCUGCUGAAACCCCAGGUGCAACAAAUGCUGCAAAUCGUUCACCCGACGAGGAAAAUGCGGGGACAAUUUCCAUUCUUGAGCGAGCCUUGACUGAGGUUUUUCCUGCUAAUGUACGCGCAGAGGACCGUGCUCAGCUCCCUGUAAAGUCUGAUGACGAAUCUGAAGGUUUUGAGUUCCAAACUGGUCACAUUUUACAAAAUGGCGGUGAUUCAGAAGCCCUGUACAAUCCCAAGAAAAGUCCCCUGAAGAACAGAAACGAAAUCUUGUGUGAUAUCCUCGGCAUUCGAGGAUAAUGAAAUCCUCCAUUUUUUGUGAGUUAAAAUUCACUCAAAUGGUGAUCACUAAUCAAAGUAUUUAUUUUUCCUCUUUUAUUUUAAGAUUUUUUGCAUUUUAUUUAAAUUUUCUUUGCAGCUAAACAUGAUGUUGCUUAUUCACUUAAUUAUGAAAAGUUCUAAACUGUUUACUUAUUUAGACAUAUUUCUGGAUCUUGCUAGAUCUCAAACUUUGUGCCAAACAAAUUCCGGAAUUCUGCAGCAAUAUAUAUACUUCAUUUUUUCUAAGGGUCAUAUUAUCAUACUUUUUGGCCCAAUUUUUUUGGUGUAUAUUUUUUCAAUUUUGAGUUUAUAUAUUCGUUCACAAACAUCAUUUCAUACCUAUAUACUUAUAUAUGUUCAUACCAAAACCUUACAUAAUAUACAAGAAAUAUAUACAAAAAAAACUUUAAUAUCAACUCCUGGCAUUUUUAGUAUCUUUUUUUCAGAUUAUAUAUUGAAUUUGAAAUAAAUAAAAAAUAUGUAAAACCGUAA